rnacentral:rRNA from 1 species
CCUACGGGUGGCAGCAGUGGGGAAUAUUGCACAAUGGGCGCAAGCCUGAUGCAGCGACGCCGCGUGAGGGAUGGAGGCCUUCGGGUUGUAAACCGCUUUUGUUCAAGGGCAAGGCACGGUCUUUGGCCGUGUUGAGUGGAGUGUUCGAAUAAGCCCCGGCUAACUACGUGCGAGCAGCCGCGGUAUUAUGUAGGGUGCAAGCGUUAUCCGGAUUUGUGGGGCGUUAAGGGGGCGUAGGCGGUUCGUCGGGUACGUGGUGACAGUCCAGCGCUUAAAGGUGGAUCCGGGCCGGGUACGGGCGAGCUUGAGUGCAGGAGGGGAGAGUGGAAUGCCCGGUGUAGCGGUGAAAGGUGGAGAUAUCGGGAAGAACACCAAUGGCGAAGGCAG